UUUUUUUUAUAAGAUUCCAUAUAUCUAAAUCUUUUGUGUUAUUAUUAUCUAAAUCUUUUUAUAAGAUUUCCAUAUAUUUGAUUGUGUUAUUAUUAUUUUUACUAAAAACGUUGCAAGAUAAUUUUUCUUUUUAUAAGAUUCUUUUCUCUAAAUCUUUGUGGUAUCUAAAAAAAAAUUAAACUAAAAAUAAAAAAAAUAAAAAAAUUGUUCAUGGUUUUGCCCUAAUUUUGCACGAAAUCAUUUUACCCAAAUCUUGCACGAAUUCAUAUUAUCCUAAAUAAAAGUUUUGUCAAGAUAUAUGUAAAAUCCAGAUUUUGCACAAAAUAGUUUUAUUCUGAUUGGUUUUACAAUAUUACAUUAAAAUUGUAUUAGUAUAUAAUACUUGAUUAUUUUAUAAAAUAAAAUGAUUGAUAAAUAACUUAAUUUAAAGGUAUAAUCACUUAUAAAAAUUUUCAUGAAUGACUAGUUUAAUGUAUCUUAAGAAGAUAUCAUAUUUUUGAUGGUCAAAGUUUUUUUUAAGAACUUAAAUUAUCACCAGAAGUUGAGAAAAUAAAUAUAAU
rnacentral:sRNA from 1 species